rnacentral:misc_RNA from 1 species
AAAAAAUCUCGAAAAUAUCAGAGAAAAUCUCGCACAAUGUAUUCAAAAUACAUUAAAAAUAUUUAGAAUGUGCCCAAAAAUUAAGUGAUUGGUUGAUUUUGUUUUUAAGCAAUUUUUUGAUUUGAUAUGUACUUUUUUUGAACAUUUCCCAGAGUAAUUUUUAAUCCGAUACCUAAUAUUUGCUGUAGAUUAUCGUAUAAUGUUUACAGUAUUUGAACAUUUGGUACAGUAGGCAGAAUAAUGGCUUGAAAAGUAUAAAAGAUUUCAUUAUUAUUUUAAAGUUUUUCGAGGGAAAAGAUGUACGAAAUAUGUGUAAACAAUACUAAAAAAAUAUUCAGUUGUUUUCUGAAUAGUUAUAUUAACAGUUGUUUCACAUCCAGCGCCAUCUAUACUUGUAUCAACAAGCUAUUUUAGAACUAGACUUAUGAAAAUAUGCUGUAGCAUUCAUAUUUUUUGAAAGAAUAAAGAACGACUUACGCACAAAUAUUCGGAGGUAUCAGGCAAGUUUCGACAUCAGCAGAACUAAGUACAAAUAGAUAAUAUACUUUCUUUAUUUUUAUAGUUGGUAUUAUAUCCUUAAGGUAGAUUAGAAAGAAUGUAAAGUAAGAUAAAUAUUUCUCCAAAGAAAUAAAACAGAAAUUUUGUUAUUUCUUUCUUAUCUUACUAUCUAUAGUUGAAAUAUAAUGUUAUUUUAUACGAUUAUAAUUGCUUUAAAAUUAAUGCUUUUGAUUUUAAUUAUAAAAAGAGUAUUUCUAAGCAUUUUGAAAGUGUCAUAAAAUUUGAAAAGAUCCAACUGUUAUAAAUAUUUUCUGAAAAGGAUCUGGAAAUGCAAUUUUAGAACAGUUCGAUGGAAAUAAUUAUUUACACUAAAAAAUAAAUUGCUUUCUAUUUCGAAUGAUAAGCUGGCAACAAAAACUUUUGACAAAUGACCUCAUCAAUGCGGAAAACACUGUAAAGGUGAAAGCCGUAAAGGUUUUUGAAAUGUUAAACGUUGGCAAUAUUCGUAAACAUUUCGAAACGUGGGAAUUUGUUGUAAGAUAUCAACACUAUCUAGAUCCUUUAAUUAACGUGCAUAGUUUCUAAUAUUUAGAUAAACAAUUAAAGGUGAAAUAAAUGUAUAUUUGGGGGCUACAGAAAUUUGAAGUUUAAAACAAGGAUUUCUUAACUGAUGCGAAAUACGUCAGACUAUGCAAAACACUUUCCAACCAAUCAUCGCUGAGAUUUUCAUCUGAGAUUAAUAGAGGAAAAAAGAAAAUCUUCUUCAGUUUGUUCUACGUUGUUUUUACCCUUGCAUCAUCAGUAAGUAGAGCAUUUUUUUCAGCUACAAGUUCUACAACUAAUAAUUAAAUAAUGACUUACAAUAAACAAAUUUAUCUUUUAAUCUAUAUAUUUCAAAAUUAUAGUAGCAAUAAAUGCAGUAAGAGUACCUUGUUUACAAAAAUCUUCGAAAGCCGUUUUAUAGCUUACAGAAGUUUUACUACUGCAGUACUCUAGACUGUUUAUCUUUUCCGCGCUAGUUUUCUGAUAGAUUUGGUUUUGGUCGGAAUUUCGAUGAUUUACUACUAGAAGAGCCACUUAGUUAUCAUAUAUACAGUAUAAUCUCAAAUACAAAAACGCGACAACCGAAAGAUGGCGCAAUACAUCUUAAUAGAUUAAUAAAUAAUUUUUAUGAAAAUGUCACAAAUUUUACAGAAGAUGGAAUUAAUUGACAAUUUCGAUAAGACAUUUUGGACAAAGAAAGAGACGGUAGAUGAAAACGGCUACGAGCAGUUUAGGAUUGCUCAGCGAGUUGCUGGAUCCGAAAACUCUUUUAAAUACGCUGUAAUAGAUUCUGAAGGGGAAUCAAAGCAGGUUGUUCUUCGAGGAGCUCAAGGAAAGAAAGAUCCUCUGACAAGUAUUGCAAACUUAAUGAUGAAAAUAAAGCAUACGGGCGAGGAAAGAUUAGUGGAGGGAAUCAUUGUUGACGAUGAAUGUGUCAUUUAUGUAACCGUCUAAAUUUUUUCCCUUGUCGAAGUUCUGCAAAAAUCGUACUCAGAACAAAAAUAAAAAUAGCUUUAAUCCCCCCUGAUAAUUCAGUUUGGCUAUUUGCCGC